ensembl:ncRNA Y9C9A.109 ncRNA
AUCAUGAACUUUAAAAAAAAUUGUACAGUUUCAACUUGUCAAUAGAUACAGAAGUGUUUGUAAUGAUAACAAUGAUAGAAGUAGAUUUU